rnacentral:rRNA from 1 species
GAUGAACGCUGGCGGCGUGCUUAACACAUGCAAGUCGAACGGUGAACACGGAGCUUGCUCUGUGGGAUCAGUGGCGAACGGGUGAGUAACACGUGAGCAACCUGCCCCUGACUCUGGGAUAAGCGCUGGAAACGGCGUCUAAUACUGGAUAUGUGACGUGACCGCAUGGUCUGCGUUUGGAAAGAUUUUUCGGUUGGGGAUGGGCUCGCGGCCUAUCAGCUUGUUGGUGAGGUAAUGGCUCACCAAGGCGUCGACGGGUAGCCGGCCUGAGAGGGUGACCGGCCACACUGGGAUUGAGACACGGCCCAGACUCCUACGGGAGGCAGCAGUGGGGAAUAUUGCACAAUGGGCGAAAGCCUGAUGCAGCAACGCCGCGUGAGGGAUGACGGCCUUCGGGUUGUAAACCUUUUUUAGCAGGGAAGAAGCGAAAGUGACGGUACCUGCAGAAAAAGCGCCGGCUAACUACGUG